rnacentral:rRNA from 1 species
UACAGAGGUGGCAAGCGUUGUUCGGAAUUACUGGGCGUAAAGGGCGCGUAGGCGGCCAUCUAAGUCAGACGUGAAAUCCCCCGGCUUAACCUGGGAACUGCGUCUGAUACUGGAAGGCUUGAGUAUGGGAGAGGGAUGAAGAAUUCCAGGUGUAGCGGUGAAAUGCGUAGAUAUCUGGAGGAAUACCGGUGGCGAAGGCGGCAUCCUGGACCAUUACUGACGCUGAGGCGCGAAAGCGUGGGGAGCGAACAGG